rnacentral:rRNA from 1 species
GUGUAGCUCAUAUUUUUUAAUUUUUAGUUUGGUUAAGUUAGAAAGGGCGCACGGUGGAUGCCUUGACACUAGGAGUCGAUGAAGGACGGGACUAACGCCGAUAUGCUUCGGGGAGCUGUAAGUAAGCUUUGAUCCGAAGAUUUCCGAAUGGGGAAACCCACCAUACGUAAUGGUAUGGUAUCCUUAUCUGAAUACAUAGGGUAAGGAAGACAGACCCAGGGAACUGAAACAUCUAAGUACCUGGAGGAAGAGAAAGCAAAUGCGAUUUCCUGAGUAGCGGCGAGCGAAACGGAACAUAGCCCAAACCAAGAGGCUUGCCUCUUGGGGUUGUAGGACAUUCUAUACGGAGUUACAAAGGAACGAGGUAGACGAAGCGACCUGGAAAGGUCCGUCGUAGAGGGUAACAACCCCGUAGUCGAAACUUCGUUCUCUCUUGAAUGUAUCCUGAGUACGGCGGAACACGUGAAAUUCCGUCGGAAUCUGGGAGGACCAUCUCCCAAGGCUAAAUACUCCCUAGUGAUCGAUAGUGAACCAGUACCGUGAGGGAAAGGUGAAAAGCACCCCGGAAGGGGAGUGAAAGAGAUCCUGAAACCGUGUGCCUACAAAUAGUCAGAGCCCGUUAACGGGUGAUGGCGUGCCUUUUGUAGAAUGAACCGGCGAGUUACGAUCCCGUGCGAGGUUAAGCUGAAGAGGCGGAGCCGCAGCGAAAGCGAGUCUGAAUAGGGCGUUUAGUACGUGGUCGUAGACCCGAAACCAGGUGAUCUACCCAUGUCCAGGGUGAAGUUCAGGUAACACUGAAUGGAGGCCCGAACCCACGCACGUUGAAAAGUGCGGGGAUGAGGUGUGGGUAGCGGAGAAAUUCCAAUCGAACCUGGAGAUAGCUGGUUCUCCCCGAAAUAGCUUUAGGGCUAGCCUUAAGUGUAAGAGUCUUGGAGGUAGAGCACUGAUUGGACUAGGGGUCCUCAUCGGAUUACCGAAUUCAGUCAAACUCCGAAUGCCAAUGACUUAUCCUUAGGAGUCAGACUGCGAGUGAUAAGAUCCGUAGUCAAAAGGGAAACAGCCCAGACCGCCAGCUAAGGUCCCAAAGUGUGUAUUAAGUGGAAAAGGAUGUGGAGUUGCUUAGACAACUAGGAUGUUGGCUUAGAAGCAGCCACCAUUUAAAGAGUGCGUAAUAGCUCACUAGUCGAGUGACUCUGCGCCGAAAAUGUACCGGGGCUAAAUACACCACCGAAGCUGCGGAUUGAUACCAAUGGUAUCAGUGGUAGGGGAGCGUUCUAAGGACAGUGAAGUCAGACCGUAAGGACUGGUGGAGUGCUUAGAAGUGAGAAUGCCGGUAUGAGUAGCGAAAGACGGGUGAGAAUCCCGUCCACCGAAUGCCUAAGGUUUCCUGAGGAAGGCUCGUCCGCUCAGGGUUAGUCAGGACCUAAGCCGAGGCCGACAGGCGUAGGCGAUGGACAACAGGUUGAUAUUCCUGUACCACCUCUUUAUCGUUUGAGCAAUGGAGGGACGCAGAAGGAUAGAAGAAGCGUGCGAUUGGUUGUGCACGUCCAAGCAGUUAGGCUGAUAAGUAGGCAAAUCCGCUUAUCGUGAAGGCUGAGCUGUGAUGGGGAAGCUCCUUAUGGAGCGAAGUCUUUGAUUCCCCGCUGCCAAGAAAAGCUUCUAGCGAGAUAAAAGGUGCCUGUACCGCAAACCGACACAGGUAGGCGAGGAGAGAAUCCUAAGGUGUGCGAGAGAACUCUGGUUAAGGAACUCGGCAAAAUGACCCCGUAACUUCGGGAGAAGGGGUGCUUUCUUAACGGAAAGCCGCAGUGAAUAGGCCCAAGCGACUGUUUAGCAAAAACACAGCUCUCUGCGAAGCCGUAAGGCGAAGUAUAGGGGGUGACACCUGCCCGGUGCUGGAAGGUUAAGGAGAGGGGUUAGCGUAAGCGAAGCUCUGAACUGAAGCCCCAGUAAACGGCGGCCGUAACUAUAACGGUCCUAAGGUAGCGAAAUUCCUUGUCGGGUAAGUUCCGACCCGCACGAAAGGUGUAACGAUUUGGGCACUGUCUCAACCAGAGACUCGGUGAAAUUAUAGUACCUGUGAAGAUGCAGGUUACCCGCGACAGGACGGAAAGACCCCGUGGAGCUUUACUGUAGCCUGAUAUUGAAUUUUGGUACAGUUUGUACAGGAUAGGCGGGAGCCAUUGAAACCGGAGCGCUAGCUUCGGUGGAGGCGCUGGUGGGAUACCGCCCUGACUGUAUUGAAAUUCUAACCUACGGGUCUUAUCGACCCGGGAGACAGUGUCAGGUGGGCAGUUUGACUGGGGCGGUCGCCUCCUAAAGUGUAACGGAGGCGCCCAAAGGUUCCCUCAGAAUGGUUGGAAAUCAUUCGUAGAGUGCAAAGGCAUAAGGGAGCUUGACUGCGAGACCUACAAGUCGAGCAGGGACGAAAGUCGGGCUUAGUGAUCCGGUGGUUCCGCAUGGAAGGGCCAUCGCUCAACGGAUAAAAGCUACCCCGGGGAUAACAGGCUUAUCUCCCCCAAGAGUCCACAUCGACGGGGAGGUUUGGCACCUCGAUGUCGGCUCAUCGCAUCCUGGGGCUGUAGUCGGUCCCAAGGGUUGGGCUGUUCGCCCAUUAAAGCGGUACGCGAGCUGGGUUCAGAACGUCGUGAGACAGUUCGGUCCCUAUCCGUCGUGGGCGUAGGAAAUUUGAGAGGAGCUGUCCUUAGUACGAGAGGACCGGGAUGGACGCACCGCUGGUGUACCAGUUGUUCUGCCAAGGGCAUAGCUGGGUAGCUAUGUGCGGAAGGGAUAAGUGCUGAAAGCAUCUAAGCAUGAAGCCCCCCUCAAGAUGAGAUUUCCCAUAGCGUAAGCUAGUAAGAUCCCUGAAAGAUGAUCAGGUUGAUAGGUUCGAGGUGGAAGCAUGGUGACAUGUGGAGCUGACGAAUACUAAUAGAUCGAGGACUUAACCAU